rnacentral:rRNA from 1 species
AGUGAACGCUGGCGGUAGGCCUAACACAUGCAAGUCGAACGGCAGCACAGGAGAGCUUGCUCUCUGGGUGGCGAGUGGCGGACGGGUGAGGAAUACAUCGGAAUCUACCUUUUCGUGGGGGAUAACGUAGGGAAACUUACGCUAAUACCGCAUACGACCUACGGGUGAAAGCAGGGGACCUUCGGGCCUUGCGCGAUUGAAUGAGCCGAUGUCGGAUUAGCUAGUUGGCGGGGUAAAGGCCCACCAAGGCGACGAUCCGUAGCUGGUCUGAGAGGAUGAUCAGCCACACUGGAACUGAGACACGGUCCAGACUCCUACGGGAGGCAGCAGUGGGGAAUAUUGGACAAUGGGCGCAAGCCUGAUCCAGCCAUACCGCGUGGGUGAAGAAGGCCUUCGGGUUGUAAAGCCCUUUUGUUUGGAAAGAAAUCCAGCUGGUUAAUACCCGGUUGGGAUGACGGUACCCAAAGAAUAAGCACCGGCUAACUUCGUGCCAGCCGCCGCAGUAA